ensembl:lncRNA
GAAUAAAAAAGAUGAGCCAUAAUGACAAAGACAUAACAGAAUUAGAACAAAUUCACAGACUUCUCUUACAGGUAAAGUGAGAUUUUAAAAAGCAAACACAAAAUUUCCAGAGUCAUGUUUUAUUUUAACAUUCGAUCUUAGUGAAGUCACUUCACAAAGAGACACCGCAAGGAAAGAGAAGUCUUUACCCUCUGCAUUCCAAGAGAGUUUGUCUUCCUGGUUUUGUUUUUUAAGUUCAGUUUUAUUAAUCUUGUUCUUGACAACACACAGAGCAUUCUUAUAAGAUCCCAUUUUAAGAGAGCAGAUCGAGUCACAGUAGGCAGGUAAGACCAGGAAGCUAUUUCUAAAUGAGAACAUCCUUCUUGUAUUUCGAACACUUGCCAGGUGCUCAACUUUUGGGAUUUGGCUUCAGUAGUUAAAAAAAAUAAUAAUUCCAAUUGUAAACGUGGGGGCAGAGGGAUGGCUGGUCUCAGCGGAGUGUUACAAAGCAAACGUGGGAAAAACCACCUCUGGAAAGCAGAUGCGAAAGUGAUUUCUAUAGGAGAUUCGAUUAGUCAUCUGGUGAAGCGUUUACCGAUGGUGUCACAGAAAACCGUGAGCCCGUAGUUUACAAAUCGUCUCUUGUAAAAUCUCCAGGGUUCGAAGAAAGUUCGUGGAAAAACACAUAGUGUGUAUUUAAUUUGUUCUGUUCCAAAAUCAGCAUAAAGAACUACUAGAGUUCACUCUCCUAUUUUGUUACAUCUCUUAUACCACGUGGCUUUCUAAAGACUUGUUGUUCUAGAAGUGCCCCCCUCGGCUAGAAAACUAGACUUUGCUCUUGAGAAUUACAGAACUGAGUGAGGAAUGGAUGUCUUCUUUGUCAGCCUCGGGGCCGGCAGCACGGAGCUUCACACCCGUCGCUUAGGACUUCAGAAGCGUUCGCCUUGACCGUCGGUGAUGACAAACAGACAGACUCUCAGGGCAAGCUGCUGCACCCCGUAACGCUGACACCCGACCCCCUUUUCCCUUCCGCGGGUUCACAAGAGCGCCUCCAGCGGCUGCAGGAGCCUAGGCGGCAGCGCCUGGCGGGGGCAGCGCCUGGCGGGGGCAGCGCGCAUGCGCAAGCGCACGGGAAGCCCGUACGCGAGCCACGUCGUGUCUGUGCGCAGGCGCGCCCUCCGUCCUCUGCGUCGUCAGAGCCGCGCGAGCGCUGCUGCUGCACCUCAGCCCUUGUGAUUUCCCGUUUGACGUUCGGGACCAACCUGGCCGCAGCCGCGCUGACUCCAUCUUGGGUUCCUACAAUGUCUGUCAAAGAAAAUAGCACCUUUGGAAGCCUGUGUUAAAAUACUACCAAGGAUCGGCGGAGGCACUGGAAAUGUGUUGCUGUGGAGACCUUACAUCAGAUGCAAUAUAUUAUUUUGAGGUAGAAACAUUUCUAAAAGAUGUAUGUUGUGAAAUUUACAACAGUGAUCAGAACUAGUUUCUAAAGAGGUAUAAAUUAUGUCAUUUGAGGAGAUAAAGUGGAACUUAAAACAUUUAAAGCAAAAUAAAGCAGAAAAGAAACAAAAUCCCCGAUGGAACAAGUGAAAAGCCGCUAGCAAAGUGGUAUACUUUAAUCCAGCUGUCUCCGUAGUCACAUGAAACGGGAAUGUUCUCAGUAUACCAGCGAGAAGACUGAAAGUGUCAAUGGGAUGAAAAAAAAUGAGAGGCAUCUGUCCAGUAUCGACAAGAAUUCAUUUUGCAAAUAGAAACAUAGGUUAAGAGCAAAAGGUUAAAAAAGAUUCACAUGCUAACAGGAAUGCAAAGAAAGCUGGAGGGGCGCCUGGGUGGCUCAGUCGGUUAAGCCUCCGACUUCAGCUCAGGUCAGAUCUCACGUUCGUGGGUUCGAGCCCCGCGUCAGGCUCUGUGCUGACAGCUAGCUCAGAGCCUGGAGCCUGCUUUCGGUUCUGUGUCUCCUCUCUCUGCCCCUCCCCCUCUCAUGCUCUGUCUCUCUCUGUAUCAAAAAUAAAUAAAACAUUAAAAAUUAAAAAAAAAAAAGAAAGAAAGCUGGAAAGCUGUAUUAAUAUCAAGUACUGUGGACUUUAGGACCACAAACUUUAUCAGGGUUUCAGAGAGCUAUGACAACAAAAUGGUUGCUUCUCUGAGCACAUGUAACAGUCCUAUGCACCUAGCAUCAGAGCUUCAAAAUACAUGAAACAGAAACUGAUAACAAUUUUGAGAAUUGAAUCCGCACUGGUAGUUAGAGACUGUAACAGACCUCUCUCUAAUUGAUAAAACAAGUAGACAGAAAUUUAGCAAACGUAUAGAAGACCUGAACAACACCAUUAACACAAUUGGCGUGAACAUGUAUGGAAGAUUCCAACCAACAAAAACAUACUUAUUUUUCUCAAGGGCACAUGGACCACUCAAGACAGGCCUUAUUCUAGGCCGUAAUACAAACCUUAACAAUUUAAAAGACCUAUAAAUCAUACCAAGUAUAUUCUCUGACUUAAUGGAUUAAACUAGAAAUCAGUAACAGAAAGGUUUAUCUAGAAAAUUCCCCAAUAUUUGGAAAUUAAAGAACCCAUAUCUGAGUAACCUACAGGUCAAGAUCUUAAAGGGAAGUAAAAACAUUUUGAAAGGAAUGAAUUGAAAAGACAACAAAAAAAUUAUGGAAUGAAGCUAACGCAGCACUUAGAGGGAAGUUGAUAGCAUUAAGUGAUUGUAUAAGAAAAAAGAAAAAAGGUCUCAAAUCAGCAAUCUAAGCUUCCUCCCUAAGAAGCAAGAGCAAGAAGAGCAAAUUAAAUCCAAAGUAAGCAGAAAGAAAGAGUUUAAAGUACGUAUUGAUGGAAUUGAUAUAGAAAUUAAUAAGAUUAAUGAAAUCAGAAGCUGAUAAAAAUAAAACUAACAAUCUUUUGGCCAUACUUAACAAGUAAAGAAGAUGAAAAUGGCCAAUGUU